rnacentral:lncRNA from 1 species
AUGGGGGCCAUGCGGUGCUGUCACCCUGGGUCAUGGUGCCACUUCUCCUCCAGGCAGCUCUCGGUGGUGCCGGCCUGGUGCCAGGGGUGCCCGUGCUCCCCGCGGCAUGGAUGCGUUCGACUGCACACCCCAGCCGGCUGCCUGCUGCCCCGACUGGAUGGCGGGGCUGCCCGACGCCCUGCCCCUCUCCCGCCUCUCCAUCCCUGGCACCCACGACUCCCUCAGCCUGUUCGGCGGCCGGCGCCUGCGGUGCCAGAGCUGGGGCCUGGAGGCGCAGCUGGCGGCCGGCGUGCGCUUCUUGGACGUGCGCUGCAAGCUGGAGCAGGGGCUGAGCUCCGCGUCUACCACCUCUGCACCUUCCAGUGGGCCAGCCUGCGGGGCGUCCUGCGCCGCACCCUGCGCUUCCUCCGCGCCCACCCCGGCGAGGCCGUGCUCAUGCGCAUCAAGGAGGAGCUGCCCUUCUUCUCCCGGCCCGGCUUCGCCGCCCGGCUCCAGCGCUGCUUGCUGGAGGAGGGACGGGGCCGCCUGUGGUGCCGCGAGGAGGUGCCCACGCUGGGUCAGGCGCGGGGCAAGAUCGUGGUGCUGGAGGCGCUGGAGCAGGCGGUGCUGGGCAUCCCCUACGAGCAGCUGAGCAUCAGCGAUGCCUGGAACGUGCUCUCGCUGGAGAGGAAAUGGGCCCGAGCGCGGCGGCACCUGGAGGCGGCAGGCCGGCGGGGACCCCGCCAAGAUGCACCUCACCUUCUGCUCCGGCAACGGGCUCUUCACCUGCCCCGAGGAGGUGGCUCGCUUCGUCAACCCCCGCUGCUACCGGCACCUGCGGCGCCGCUCGGGGCAGGCGGUGCGCUGGGGGGUGGUCAUCAUGGACUUCCCCGGGGCAGGCCUCCUGCGGCUCAUCGUGGACAGCAACGCCCCGUGGGCGAGUGGGAGCAUCACAGAGGCACCCGGCACCCCCACGGCACCCCGGUGGCGGAGGGGACGGGCGCUGCGGGCGGUACCACUAGGGCCGGUGUCCCCAGUGGCACUGCCAGCCCCACGCGUACGCCGAAAAACAUCGGUGUCCUUGGGGAAGAAGAGAGGCCGUAG